AUUAUGGAUUUAUACAGACCCUCAUCCUCCGCCUUGACUCGACCAAUUUCCUAACCCUUGACCUUUCCCCUUUCGCUUAACCACCAUCUCAUUUGCAGCUGCAAUAGCGAAAUAAUGAAGGAGGAGGAAUCAAUAGUGGUUCUAGUUGAGGACGAAGAUGAUCCUUCAUCGACGCUUCUGGAUCUCACGAGUUACUAGCUCCACGACCUUGACUUGGUCAAAGUGCCACCGCGUUCGGCGUAUCAGAACUCAUCCUCGUUGGGCAAAGAGAUUUCAACUGUUUCGGGAGUCAUGUGUCCUCCUCACACCUCCGAUUUUGACACUUCCACUCCCUCCAAGACGCUUGCAACUUCCUCAAAGACAAAGACUGUGAUAUUUGUGGCAUUGAGAUCACAAAUGAUGCUCUCCCUAUCAAUCAACAUCCUUUCAACAAGAGCACUGCAUUCCUACUCGGCAACGAGGGUACUGACCUUUCUCCUAAGGAAAUUGAGAUAUGCGAUUCUUUCGACUAUAUCCUGCAAUAUGGCGGUGACACUGCUUCCUUGAAUGUUACUAUAGCUACUUCCAUUGUACUCCAUCAUUUCAGAGGUAAGGAUGAAGAUUGGAUUUCCAAUUACUAGUUAUGGUCAGGAGAGUAGAAAUAGAGUUGCUCGCCAAAGAAUUCCUCACAGGGUAUGAACUGAUGAGGAAGGUGUUGAGCAUGUGGAGGUAAAUCUAACAGCAUUUACUGAAAUUUAUUUGUCAAUGCGUACACAUUUUAUAAGAACUAUUUUGAACUUUGAUAAAUCCUUGGGAUAAGAUAACAAAACAAAAAACUUCAAGAAAAUGUUGUGAGGGAGGGGAAAAAGAUGAAAAAGAAAGAAGAGAAAAGAGGCAAGGUGUAGGAGCGUUUCAUUGGGCAUAUUGUUUCAUUGUUCUUUUGUGUCAGGUAACCCUGUUAAUAGUCAGUUACAAUAGGUUUGUUAUUUACCUUGUUAUUUGUUAGCUAGCUCGGGCUGGGAUAAUUAGAGAAAUAAGGCAUUUGCCUGUAAAUAAGAAAAAGGGUACUGAGAAUCAAAAAGGAGGUGGUGGGACCUUAUCAAGUUGGAAACAUUUGGACUCUUAGAGAGUGAGGGAGAGAUCAAGGUCUAUCGAAUACCUUAAGCAUUAGUGUAAUUCUUUUUUGGCUCUGUUACCAAAUAAUUGUACUAGAGAAUAAUUCAAAGGCAUUGACAAUGAAUGGAAGUUUACUUACUUGAUUGUUGAGAUUAGAGCACCAUCUACAACAUAAAUAAUUGUGGCUGAGCUUCAAAAUGUUAUGAACUUAAUUAUCUUAUUUUAUGCACAUUGAUUAACCUGUUGCAAAUGUUAGGCAUUAUAUAUAUGUGUCUUAUUUUGCACUCAAUUCUUUUCCUUCAACAAUGCCCCUAAUAUCUCACUUAAGCUCUUGGUUAUAUUUGAUUGUUGGUGAAUAAUACCAGGCUAUAGGCACUGUUCAAUGUUUUUUUUUGGUGUGUUUUGGCUAUAUAUUUUGAUUAUCUUAUGUGUGUCAACCUUGGAAAAUAUACUACAAAUUAUUUUAUUAGAAGGAAAAAUCCCUUAUACAUGUUCUUAUUAUAGUCCUAUUCACAUACAAUUCAUAUUUUCACGCAUACAUAUGAAACUUGAAAAAUCAUAAGAAUUUUGAAUUUCUGAUUUAUACUAGAAGGUAAAAAAAAACCUUUUACCUGUUCUUAUUAUAGUCCAAUUGGUAUGCAAUUCAUAUUUUCAUGCAUACAAAUAAAACUUGAAGAAUCAUAAGAAUUCUAAAAUACUUAAUGCAGAUCUUUAAUAUUUGGUCCAUUAUGGAUGCUGCAUUUUUCUGCUAUAAGCAUUUACCGCCUUAGCCAGUCCAUGUUUCUUGAGGGAUGAAAGUUGAAAGAAGGAAAGAGAAUUAA